GUAUUAAUUAUUAUUCUAAUGGAGGCACUUCACAUGGCUAUUUGUAUUUGCGUAUUUGAUGUAUUCGCCAAACAAUCACCAUGUGUAGACAAUAUGUUUGGCAAAGUUUUGGCCUUAUUUGCCUAUUUGACAAAUAUGACCAAUACCAAAUACACGUAUCCGUACCUUUGUCAGUUUUUGACGCACAUCAAAGGAGUCAAAUAGGCAAGUAAACAAAAUCAAGUAAAAGUUUGGUAUUUGACGUCCAUAUGUGGAAGGGUGU